GAUGAACGCUGGCGGCGUGCCUAAUACAUGCAAGUCGAGCGAAUGGAUUAAGAGCUUGCUCUUAUGAAGUUAGCGGCGGACGGGUGAGUAACACGUGAGUAACCUGCCCAUAAGACUGGGAUAACUCCGGGAAACCGGGUCUAAUACCGGAUAACAUAUUGAACCGCAUGGUUCGAAAUUGAAAGGCUGCUUCCGCUGUCACUUAUGGAUCGACCCGCGUCGCAUUAGCUAGUUGGUGAGGUAACGGCUCACCAAGGCAACGAUGCGUAGCCGACCGGGGAGGCGGAUCGGCCACACUGGGACUGAGACACGGCCCAGACUCCUACGUGAGGCAGCAGUAGGGAAUGUUCCGCAAUGGACGAAAGUCUGACGGAGCAACGCCGCGUGAGUGAUGAAGGCUUUCGGGUCGUAAAACUCUGUUGUUAGGGAAGAACAAGUGCUAGUUGAAUAAGCUAGCACCUUGACGGUACCUAACCAGAAAGCCACGGCUAACUACGUGCCAGCAGCCGCAGUAA
rnacentral:rRNA from 1 species